rnacentral:rRNA from 1 species
GCCCCUGAUGACGAGUGGCGCACGGGUGCGUAACGCGUAUACAAUCUACCUUUUACAGGGGGAUAGCCUUUGGAAACGAAGAAUAAUACCCCAUAGUAUUAUCAAUUGGCGUCGAUUGAUGAUUAAAGUUACGGCGGUAAGAGAUGAGUAUGCGUUCUAUUAGCUAGUAGGUGUGGUAACGGCACACCUAGGCGACGAUAGAUAGGGGCCCUGAGAGGGGGAUCCCCCACACUGGUACUGAGACACGGACCAGACUCCUACGGGAGGCAGCAGUGAGGAAUAUUGGACAAUGGUCGGAAGACUGAUCCAGCCAUGCCGCGUGCAGGAAGACUGCCCUAUGGGUUGUAAACUGCUUUUGUACGGGAAGAAACCCCCCUACGUGUAGGGGGCUGACGGUACCGUAAGAAUAAGCAUCGGCUAACUCCGUGCCAGCAGCCGCGGUAAUACGGAGGAUGCAAGCGUUAUCCGGAAUCAUUGGGUUUAAAGGGUCCGUAGGUGGAUUAGUCAGUCAGAGGUGAAAUCCUGCAGCUCAACUGUAGAACUGCCUUUGAUACUGCUAGUCUUGAAUUAUUGUGAAGUGGUUAGAAUAUGUAGUGUAGCGGUGAAAUGCAUAGAUAUUACAUAGAAUACCGAUUGCGAAGGCAGAUCACUAACAAUAUAUAGACACUGAUGGACGAAAGCGUGGGGAGCGAACGGGAUUAGAUACCCCGGUAGUCCACGCCGUAAACGAUGGUCACUAGCUGUUCGGACUUCGGUCUGAGUGGCUAAGCGAAAGUGAUAAGUGACCCACCUGGGGAGUACGUUCGCAAGAAUGAAACUCAAAGGAAUUGACGGG